rnacentral:rRNA from 1 species
AACGAACGCUGGCGGCAUGCCUAACACAUGCAGGUCGAACGAGACCUUCGGGUCUAGUGGCGCACGGGUGCGUAACGCGUGGGAACCUGCCCUUAGGUUCGGAAUAAUUCCCCGAAAGGGGUGCUAAUACCGGAUAAUGUCUUCGGACCAAAGAUUUAUCGCCUUUGGAUGGGCCCGCGUUGGAUUAGCUAGUUGGUAGGGUAAAAGCCUACCAAGGCGACGAUCCAUAGCUGGUCUGAGAGGAUGAUCAGCCACACUGGGACUGAGACACGGCCCAGACUCCUACGGGAGGCAGCAGUGGGGAAUAUUGGACAAUGGGCGAAAGCCUGAUCCAGCAAUGCCGCGUGAGUGAUGAAGGCCUUAGGGUUGUAAAGCUCUUUUACCCGGGAUGAUAAUGACAGUACCGGGAGAAUAAGCUCCGGCUAACUCCGUG